rnacentral:rRNA from 1 species
AGUGAACGCUGGCGGUAGGCCUAACACAUGCAAGUCGAACGGCAGCACAGUAAGAGCUUGCUCUUACCGGUGGCGAGUGGCGGACGGGAGAGGAAUACAUCGGAAUCUACUUUUUCGGGGGGGAUAACGUAGGGAAACUUACGCUAAUAUAGCAUACGACGUACGGGUGAAAGCAGGGGAUAUUCGGACCUUGCGCGACUGAACUAGCCGAUGUCGGAUUAGCUAGUUGGCGGGGUAAAGGCCCACCAAGGCGACGAUCCGUAGCUGGUCUGAGAGGAUGAUCAGCCACACUGGAACUGAGACACGGUCCAGACUCCUACGGGAGGCAGCAGUGGGGAAUAUUGGACAAUGGGCGCAAGCCUGAUCCAGCCGUACCGCGUGGGUGAAGAAGGCCUUCGGGUUGUAAAGCCCUUUUGUUGGGAAAGAAAAGCAGCAGGUUAAUACCCCGCUGUUCUGACGGUACCCAAAGAAUAAGCACCGGCUAACUUCGUG